rnacentral:rRNA from 1 species
UACGUAGGGGGCAAGCGUUGUCCGGAAUCAUUGGGCGUAAAGAGCGUGUAGGCGGCCCGGUAAGUCUGUUGUGAAAGUCCAGGGCUCAACCCUGGAAAGCCGAUGGAUACUGCCGGGCUAGAGUUCGGAAGAGGCGAGUGGAAUUCCUGGUGUAGCGGUGGAAUGCGCAGAUAUCAGGAGGAACACCUAUAGCGAAGGCAGCUCGCUGGGACGACACUGACGCUGAGACGCGAAAGCGUGGGGAGCAAGCAGG